UAAUCCCGACUUAUUCUUUUAGCUCUAAUAGGGUCUGCGCCCUCCACUUAUUCCCUUCCCUACGCAGGUUUCCUUCCUUUGUCGACAGCCUCUUCCCCUCUAACCCAAACCUUAGCAUUUCUCUGCCUCUCUCCAGUCUUCUAGUUUUCCUUCACCUCAACUUCUCUCUCUCAUUGACCAUACCUUGAGAUGAGCACAACGAUGUUUCCCCGACUCUGUUUUGGUACUGGGUUCGAACUGGUGCGAUGGUCGAUAGUUUGGAACGGGGCGCACAGCGUGGUCGAUAGGUAACAAGGUUUUUCAAAGUGGGAUUUUAGUUUCAGAUCUAAGGCAUUUGGUUUUAUUUGGGUGCGUUAUAUAAAUAUGUGUGUAUAGUUGUGUUUAUUUCUCUGAGUUCUUACGUUUGUUCCUCUGUUUUGGGUAUAGACUUUGAAUAUUUGUUUUUCUGAUGUGUGUAUAUACUUAACUGUUUUUAGUUUACAAAGAUUUUUGGACCAGGUUUCCUCUCUCAAGGAAACUCUGCUGAGUGAUAUUUAGGGUCGGCAAUGACAAGCAAAAGGUCAACUGGGUUAGCUUAUGAAUUUCCUUACAAUUUUUCAAUAUUUCUGAGUACUGAUAAUGUUAACUUUGUAGUAUUUUCGUGUGUUUUCAUAGCUUUGGUACCUUAGAGUAGAGUAUUACAUAAUUUUUUAGAUUAAAUGGUUCUGGUUUACUGCAUUUUAAGUAGUUUUGGCGUUAUAGAUUAGCUUUAUUAUGUGUCUAUUUUCUACUUUUGAAGCCUUCUUUUGGUUGGUUUUACUUUCUUUCGUGCUUGGCUGAAUUUUCAAUACGCACUUUUUCCUACUUUUUUUUGGACAAUCUGAGUUAGUUUCUUGGCUUAUCUUUUAUGGGUUAUGGCAAAUGCUAUUUUUUUCCUUCUUAUAGUUCUUUUAUCUCACUGCUAUGUGAACAAAUAAUGCGCAUCCUUUUUAACAUGUUCAGUUCUUAACAAUCAGCUUUAAUAAUGUGGGGAUUAGCUAGGUGAUUUAUAUUUACAUUUUUGUGUUUCGGUUUCAAGUCGACCAUUUUCUUUAUUAGCCUUUAGGGCUGUGCAGAAACGAUCUGAUCCAAUAACAAACCAACCGCUAAAAAUUGGAUAUCCAAUCAUGAUUGUAUUGGAUCGGAUGACAUUUUUAAAAAUCCAAUAUUGGAUCGGUCGGUUCUUGGAUGACAUGUAAAUCCAAUAGAUACAACCGACCGAUCCAAUCCAAUAAUGAUCCAAUACCAUCCAAUUAAUAUUCAGAUAAAAAAUAUAUUUUAUAUGUUUUUUAAAGUUAAAAUAUCAUUGGAUUUAUGUUGGGUUUGUAAUGUUUUGAACUAAUAUAUUAGUUGUUUAUGUGAAAAAUCAGGUUUAACUCUUCUAAGGAUCGGAUUGGAUGGAUCCAAUCAAUCCAAUUAAUAUUGGAUCAAAAAUAUUGGAUGGAUCCAAUCCGAUCUAAUAAAUAUUGGAUCAAUAAUAUUGGAUGGAUCCGAUCCAAUACAGGGAUUCAUAUCUAUUGGAUGGAACCGAUCCAAUCCAAUGACUUAUUGGAUCGGUUCAGUUCGGUUGAGCAUACAGUAUUGGAUUGGAUCGGUUGGAGAAAUCCAACAUCCAAUGUAUAAUUGGAUUGGAUCUGGAUGGGUCCAAAAACAUUGCAUAUGGUCCAAUGAACAACCCUAUUAGCCUUGGUUGGAAAAUAAGUAAUGAUGGGAAUUUUUUUUUAAUACGCUUAAAACCCCAAGUAUAAAUUGCUCAAAAAAAAAAACCUAAGUAUAAAAACUAAAUGUCUCAUAUUCCCUAACCCUAAAACUCGGCAGCCUCUCACUCGCUAUCUCUCUCAGUCCUCCUCACUCAUCUCUCACUACACCAACACCCAGUAGUCUUCUUCCAUUUUCGUUAGCCACCACCAUCGGCAGCACCACAACCAUUGGUCUUAAGUAUUCAAAACAGAGAUUCAAUUUUGUUAGUUUGCUUGAUUGGGAGAAAGGUAUUUGAUUAAAUUUUCCUUUGCUGAAUAAUUCUUUCUGAACUCAGCUCAGCUCAGCUCCAUAGGUUAUUUUCGUAUCGUUGUUGGAGUAUUUUUUUUUUUUAAUAAUGGUGCUUUUAUUUUUAUUUUUGACAUCAGAUUCAAAAUUAGAUUGGAUUUGGAAUUGGUUUGUUUGAUUAGGAGAUAGGCAUGUUUUCAUUUGAUCAUUGCCUCGGAAAUCUUUAUUGGCUAAGUUGCACUGUCAUAGUAAGUUUAUAAUGAGUAGUAAGUCUAAAAGAAGAGCAUACUACCCCAAAUGUAUAAAUGUGGCCUUGUUGUAUAAAUUCUCUAAAAAGCAAAAAAAAAUAAAAAAAAAGUAUUGAGCUGCUAGCAACAAUAUUUGUCAAAUUUGUUAAUUACCUCUUCUUCAGCCCUGGAGAAUGGGCCAGGUAUCAUUUCUUACCACCGGAUACCAAGCCGCAACAUUCAAUUGCUUUUUGUCCUUUAUAAUUCUCCCGAAACCUCCCAUGCCCUAAUCCGAACCCCAACUAUUUUGUAUUAGCCAAUAAUUGGUUUUUUAAGUAUUUCAUUCGUCAAUGAGUAUUUAAUUGUCUCCGUGCCCUCCCCAACGAGGAGCACCCCGUGCAAA